GGUGAGGGAAGCAGAGAGGAAAAACAGGACCAAGGACUUGCCUCCAGUGAUCUAUUUUCGUUCUGCUAGAUCUCACUCUCAGAUGAGGUCGGGCUUGUUCAGAAUGGAAUGGCCAUACUCCAGGUCUCACUUUUUGUACACCAUCUCCUGACCUACCAGGGGUUGAAGACCCACUUUAGAGGAUGCUUAUCCAAGCCACAGCAAAAACAUUCCAGAAUUAGAUCAAGUGUGGUGGCACACAUCUUUAAUCCCAGCAUUUGAAGGACAGAGAGAGGCUGGCCUCUGUGAGUUCAAGGACAGACUGAUCUAUACAGCAAGUUGUAGGCAGCCAGAGCUCCACAGAGAGACCUUGGAACUGGAUGGUGAUGACAAAGGAGUGUGCUGUAAACUGGAAGUACCAUAAGUCAUUCAGCAAUGCACUUCAAGGGGUUGAUUGUGUGGUGUAUGAACCACAGCUCAAUGAAUUUGUUGUUUCAAAAAAGGAAAAAUCAUUGUUUGAUUUUAUUACUCUCACUCUCUUUAUUGAAUUCAUAUUGAGAUGCACAAUUUUUAAUUAACUAAACAGGCUUCGUUAACUAUUGUUUUCAUUUUUUUUUGUUUGUUUUUUGUUUUUUGUCUUUUGUUUUUCAAGACAGGGUUUCUCUGUGUAGCCCUGACAGUCCUGGGACUUACUCUGUAGACCAGGCUGACCUUGAACUCAAGAGAUCUGUCUAAACUAUUUUCUCAUUGGGUUUUUAUUUUGCUUCCUUCUGUUUUAUUUGCCAUUUCUGUUGGUUUUGGCUUUGAGUGUAAGUCUUCAUUCAGUGUUUCUGCUCCCCUGCCCCAGGGCUGCCAGUCCUGUGAUGAGAGACAGAGAGGUGAGGCUACAGAUACCUCAACAAAAAGUGCCUAUAAGUCAUCUGGCUAAAAUCACACAGUAAGUGGUAGCAGUUCAGGAAGGGUCAGGACCCAUGGAACCUGGUGGUCAUUUAACCCCACGGCCCAGUCCACAGAAGAAUCUGAGGCUCGGGAGUUAAGCUGCCCAAUAACACAUGGCUGUGACAUGCUGCCUCGGUAGACCCACCUCUCAUGUCGAGAGGCCCUCGGAGACUGUUGAGGAUUCUCAGGGUUAUGUACAGUUCCUCUUGGCUCCAUGAUAGGCCUGGGCAGCUGAAGGUGUCCUCAGAUAUAGUAAUGACUUACAAGAUGAGUUCGCAACUACUCAUUGCUGUGCCAUGUGCUAGGCAUUCUAUGGGGACUGGAACCUGGCAGUGCAUCCGUUGUCCACCCUGUGGCUUCAUGGGGUCUGGAUAUUCCCAAGAGCAGCCUUGGCAGCUGCCACUAAAAACUUGAAAUGGACCAGGUAUUCCAGGGCCCAGCCCUGCGACAUGAGUCUGCUGAUGUGGGUAGAAUCUGUGUUUUUUACACUGACUGCAGCUGGUUCUGGUGAGCAGCGAGGGUUAGGACUUAUAGGCCUGGUAUAUCCUCCCACAACAUGGCUAUUUAUUUGUGUGUGUUUGUGUAUAUGUAUGUGUGUACAUGUGUUGUGCAUGCACAUGUGGAGGCCAGUGGCUGGUGUUAGGCAUCUUCCUCUAUAACUUCACAUAGUUUUAAAUUUUAUUUUCUAAAGACUUGUUUUUAUUUUUCAUUAUAUGUCUAUGUCUGUGUGUGGCCUAAUGAGUGAAUGCUCUGUGUGUGUGUGUGUGUGUGUGUGUGUGUGUGUGUGUGUACCCAGAGGUCAGAAGAGCGCAUCAGAUCCCCAAGAGCAGCACCUGUUGUUAACUUCUGAGUCUUCUCCCCAGGCCCCUCCAUCUUAUUUUCUAGGUGGGGUCUCCCACUAAACCUGGAAUUCACUGUCUCAGCUAUACUGCCUCACCAGAAAGUCACGUGUGUAGACGUGUGUAGACGAAUUUCUAAAUGGUCUUAUUAAAUAAAACACGGAGCCAGAAAUUUGGGCGAAAGCCUUAGAGAGAUCAGGGAAAUAUGGAAAGCCACCAGCCAACCUUACCUCACCAACUCCGCAGCUUCCAAGGAGAGUGUCUUCUUGUCUACCCAGGCUUAUAUACCUUGCUUUUCUGCUCUCUCAUUGGCUCUUAGCCCAACUACCUCACUUUCUCUUCCUACACAGCUCUGUCACUGUCUGUCUGUCUGUACAGACCUCCAGGUCUCUAUGAUUGGUACUGGGAUUAAAAGCGUGUGUCACCACUUGUGACUCUGUUCCCUAGUGUGGCCUUGAACACACAGAGACCCUGCCUGCUAAGUGAUAGGAUUAAGGGCGUGUGCUGCCUGACUUUGUUUACUUCAAAUGGCUGGCCUUUUCCCCCUGAUCUCAGGCAAGCUUUAUUUAUUAAAGCACAAAUAAAAUAUCACCACAUUUCAGCACAAAUAAAAUAUCACCAAAUUUCCCCCUUUUUUGUCUACUAAAAAAUAAAAAAAUUUAAAAAGUUAUAAGUAAUAUAAGAAAAACUAUAUACAAUAAGUACAAUAACUAUAUACAAUAUGUACAAGCAAUAAAUACAUCAACAAUGUCUAGUCCAUUUGCAUUUGACAAAUUCAGAGAAAAUAUUCCAUUAUCUAUCCUAUUUUGAUGAGUCCAAAGCGUACCUAAUUCAGUUUCUAUCCUAACUUAUAUUACCAACAGAAAACUAUCUUAUGAUGUCUUUCAAACUUAUACACUUAAUACCUCUUAGUGAAUUUUUUUUCUGAAUUUCUUAACAAGGAAAACCGUAACUAUAACUAUCUAAUCUUCAACUCCCUCAGAGACCCGAGAAGGAAAUAAUAUUACCUAGUUAAAAAAGGAGUGCAAACAAGCGACUUCUAAAAAAUGAGUUAUGACGGAAACAGCCUGCUGCCUGGACAGUGACCCGAGGUUUCUCUGCAUGUUGGGGUAUCACCUUCAGCCUACAGACUCAUUUAUGAAUUAAGAUGUACACAAGGCCUACAGUUUGAACUCACGUUCAGUCCAAGUAUUCCAUAUACCAGAUAAACUUGAAUUCCACCAGUUAUGAUUGAGGAUUUUAAAUCCUGGAAAUUGCUGGUGUUUUUGGAAUUCGUCUGCCUAUUCUUCUCGGCUUGUGGGUGGCUUCAUCUCCUUUGUUAAAUGCCAAUCUACCAUUGAGAGGUAGACUCCCAUCAGCCUAGUUACUUUUUCAAGAAUAACUGUUUCAGCUACUGUUCCACUGCACACCAGAAGCCAUCAGUCCACUGCCAGUUUAGCUGCCUUCAAAGAAAGGGGCACUGUACUUUUUCCGGAAUGCAAAGCCACUUCAGCGAUGGUGCCAUAUUGUCCUGGCCUCAGAGGACACCUGUUGCUAAAGCCACAACCACACUUUUUUUGGCAAAGGAUUGGUAGUCCUUUGUUUUGUGUCCUGUUUGUCCAUUUUGGAUAGCAUACUGUCCACAGUCAAUGCGAGGGCACUUUGCUGUUCAGUGGCUAACUUUUGCCACAAUGAAAGUUAGCUCCAUAUGCAGUUUCUUCAAUGCCCAUAUCUUUUCUGAAGUAGAUUGGUGCAGCCAGGAACAGACAUGUCUCAUAGUCAUAAAAAAAGAAAAAAAAAUCUAUGUUAUUAAAUCAUUUUAAAUGCCAUAAUCUGUAGAUCUCUGAAGGAUUUGAAGAUUACCUGUCUAUCUAAAAUAUGUCUCUGCUUGACCUUAAAAACAUACCUAAUAUGACUACAAGUUCGAUUGUAAUGUCUAACUACUAACUUUCAUAUCUUUAUAUCCUAAUAGUUGGUAAUAAUAACAUUCAAGGAUUAGCAAAUUGCAUUACAUUGUUAAAUGAACUGUAUAGGCACAAUAUCUUGAACAAGAUUAGAAAUAUAUGUACAGAAUUUUUUAACAAUAUCAAUCUAAAUAUAUAUAAUUUGUAUACAAUUUAUAAAAAUCCAAUCCAAUGUAAAGUAUUUAAAACUAGUAGUUGUCUUUUAAAAGUAGAUUCAAUAAUCUACCUUUUUAUCUAUAUCAUAUCUAUAUCCUCUCUUUUUUCUUUUCAGAGUACAUUCAAUAAUCUACCCUUUAUUCUAUCAUUUCUAUCUCUCUUUUUUUUUCAGAGUAGACUCAGUAAUCUACCUCUUCUCUAUAUCCUCUUUUUUCUUUCAAACAAGAACCUUAUAUCUAAUCUCCUUUGUUUAGCCCUUUUUCCUGACCAUUAACAAUAACAACUUGUAACCAACCAUACCAAACAAUGAAAAUUAUCCCAAACCCAAAUCCCAUUGAAAGACCAAAAACCACCUGCCCCACCUCUUGGGAAUAUGGGUGUCGUGUUCUUAAGAUUACUUCCUGCUGUUUGUGGGUGAAGGCAUCUUUAGGGGAUCCUGAAAAGAAAAGUUUUGGGUUAAUUGUCAAGUUCCGGGAGAGGUAGCUGAAUCAUUUGUUGUCCAGUCUCUGCAUAAUGCAAAAGUGCAAGGAUUAUCUCAGUUCCUUGUUUAAAUAGUCUGUGAGGCUAGAUCAUCUCAGCUAGCCAUCUCAUAAUUGUUCUGAGCAGUUUGUAGUUCAAAGCUAUCUUUGGGUGAUGUUUGUCAGCUUAGUGAUAUUAUUAUUGUCCUCAUGAAAUCAUCAUUGUGAGGCCCCAUCAUCUUUCUAGAGACUUCAAAUUUGCUGUUAGGCCUGGUCAUGAUUCCCUGCAGAAAACUGAUAGAGACUCCAACACAAAGCCAUGUAUAGGCAGCUAAAUGAAGCCUUUUUUCUAGAAUUAGUUAGUACUCUAUAAGAUCCAUUAAUAUCAUAACAAAAGUUUAAAAUAUAUAUAAAUAUAUAUAUAUAUAAAUCUGAUAAAUUUUGAUAUGAAAUUCAUACCUUAUGAAAAGUUUAAAGAAUCAAAAUAGAACCAAAGAAUUGAGAUUAGUGGCAAUAGAAUAUUCUCUUAAUUUUUUUGGUUUUCUUCUGUCCCAUAUCAGAUGACUCUUUCUUGUGACAUGAUACAGAGAUUUUGCAUUUUCCUUUUAACAAAAUGCUUGGGUUUAGAGAAAAAGAGAGCCAUUCUCCAACUCCAAAGCCAGCUUUAAUUUUUAAUUGAACUGUGACUACAGAAAGAACUUUGUGUUAAGUAUUUUUAGAGAAGAGCAGAAAUAAACAUUUAGGAAGAUUUAUGAAAUUUUAUAUGUGAUAUACCAAUAGGCCAAUUUACUCUUUCUCUUGGGACAUUUUUUUCUACAUGAUUUGUCCUUUUUCUUGAGAUGUCUCAUUUGUCCAGUGUUCUUUAGAUUCCUUAGUCUUUAUUCUCCUGAAAGACAAAAACAAAAACUCUCCCCCAAGCCUAACUUUGGGGAGGUUCCCUUUUGGCAAGUUAUAUAUGAUUAAAUGAAAAGCAUUUGUUAGUGGUAUAAGUUAGUUUAAUUUGGAUGGUCAUGCUGGUUGAUAAAGUAUCACCUUUUCUAAUUAAGAGGUCUCUCUUGUUCAAAUCAAACCUUUAUCGAUUUUGAUGGUAUCCACAGCUUAUCUUCUCCUGUAGAAACAAAAGCAAAACCUCAUCCCCAACGUAACACAUAUCCUGGUUUCCAUUCUGAGGUCAGCACAUCUUUAAAGUAUAUAUAGGCUGAUUUAAUUCUGUAGUUUUUUUUUUUUAUUAUCCAAUGUCUCUUCACAGCUAUUGUUCCUUUCUCAUUAGCAUUGAGAAAAUUCAAAGUUAAUAGAGCAUUAUACAAUCUAUUUCUGGGGGGUUUUUGUUACCCCUUUCUGUUCAUUUAGCAUAUCCUUUAGAGUUCUGUUUGCUCUUUCUAUAACUGCUUGGCAUGUAGAAUUAUGUGGUAUACCUAUAAUAUGCUUUAUAUUCUAAUAAACAAAAAACUGUUUCAUUUCACCAGAGACAUAUGCUGGAGCAUUGUCAGUUUUGAUUUGUGUAGGUAUACUCAUGAUGGCCAUAACUUCUAGCAAAUGCAUGGUUACAGAAUCAGCUUUUUUCAGAACUCAAAGCAGUUGCCCAUUGAAAUUCUGAAUAAGUAUCAAUAGUGUGGUGUACAUAUUUCAGUUUUCCAAAUUCUGCGAAGUGAAACACAUCCAUCUGCCAGAUUUCAUUCCUCUGAGUACCCUUUGGGUUACAUCCUGCCAGUAAUGGAGUCUGAUUGUAAAAAGAACAAGUAGGACAUUUCCUUACAAUUUCCUUGGCUUGUUGCCAGGUUAUGGAAAAAUCUUUUUUUAAACCUUUACUAUUGACAUGAUGUUAUCUAUGAAAUUCUGAGGCCUCCAGGACAUUUCCUAUCAAUACUUUAUCGAUCUCAUCAUUACCUUGUGCUAGAGGGCCUGGCAGACCUGUAUGGGAUCAGAUGUGAGUUUUAUAUAUAAAGGAUGCUUCCUAUACCUGAUUAUAUCUUGUAACUGAAUAAAUAACAAAGUUAAUUCUGACUCAUCAGGAAUAAAUUCUACAGUCUCAAUAUGUAAGACCACCCUUUCAGCAUCAAAUCCAUUAAUACCAACAGAAUAGCAUACAAUUCCGAUUUUUGAACCAAAUUAUAAGGACUUUAAACCACUUUACUUAAAUUUUCUGACUUGUAACCUGCCUUUCCUUGUUUGUUUGCAUCUGUAUAAAAUGUUCAGGCUUCAGAUAUGGGUGUUUCCCAAACAAUGUGAGGCAGAAUCCAAUCAGCUCUCUUUAUAAGUUGAAUUCUAUCACUUUUGGGAUAUUUGCUGUUGAUCUCUCCCAAAAAAUUACUGCAAGCUCUUUGGCAAGGUUCACUUUCUGCCAUAAUUUACCGAUGUCCUCCUUAGUUAAAGAUACUACAAUUUCUGCUGUGUCUCUUCCUGCUAAUUGGCAAAGUCUCAAUUUUCCUUUUAAAAUCAAGUCAGAGAUUUUUUCCACAUAAGUUUUUAAUUUUUACUCUGUUUAUUUGGUAAAAAUAUCCAUUCCAAUAUAAUAUCUUCCCUUUGCAUUAAAAUUCCUGUAGGAGAAUGCUUUGAGGGUAAAAUAACCAAAAUGUAGUUAAGCUUUGGAUCCACAGGAUCCAUAUGUCCUUCAUGUACUUUCUUUUCCACCAAGGCUGAUUCUCUCUCAGCUUCAACUGAUAAUUAUCUUGGACUAUUUAAGUCCUUGUCACCUUGUAAGGUUUUGAACAAAUUACUCAGUUCAUCAUUUUUUACCCCAACAACAGUUCGUAGAUGGGAAAUGUCUCUGAAUAAUCUUUGAAAGUCAUUAAGAGUCCAUAAUUGAUCUCUCCUAAUUUGCACCCUUUUUUGGGGGGGUGGGGUCUAAUUUUUUUGUAGACCUAUUUUAUACCCUAAAUAAUUAAUAGAAUCUUGUUACAAGCUGCAAAAAUAUACAAAGUAGGAUUUCAGCUGAUUAUGACAAAGCUAAUACCUGGAAGACACCAAGGACCUUCCAGAGGUCAAACUGAGUGAGGCUCAAGGAGCCUUGGUGAUAUUUGGCUUUUGAUUAUCAGCCGUUUACUGCUAUGAGUUUCUUGUGUGCUAUUGUAGCUUUUCUGCACUGACAGCUAUGCACAGCCAGAACCCCAGGUCAGGCCUCCCUGUAAUUAUUUUCAUUGGCAGCAUCCAGCCAGGACUAUCCCUAGAUGGAGGAAAGUACCUUAUCAGAGAUACGUCUGUACUCUCUAAGAACAGACUUAAGCAUCCAGACUACCCAUUUGAGAAGGCCUGGUGGAUAUGCCAAUUAAGUUUAGCUUCCUCCUUUCCCAACUCUUACCUCUAGUUACAGAUAUCCAUUUAACUGUCACCAGAGGCAUCUAGCUGUACACAGGUUGCCUAGAGACCAGAGCACACUUUCUCCCACCCUGCAGAUAGCUUGGACAGAUAGGAGCCACAGGAAAAAAGAAGGCAGUUUUAUUUUCUCCCAUUGACCUUAACAUUUUCUACCAGUCACGUUUAAGAUUAUAGUUGAGCACAUAAGAUCCCUCUUCUUAGAUAUUACCCAAAUUUAUCCUUUAGUUAAUUCAUUUCCUCAUUAGUCACUUCCCUCUUGGGUUGCAAAUGAUAAUUAAUGGUUAUUGCCUCUCUAUGUGAUUCUUAUCACCCCUCCAUUUGACCCUGGAAGCCCGGCUUUACACUGCCAAGGGAUUACUGCUUGUAAGUGCAUAUAUACCACAACUCCCAGGGGACAGGAUGAAGAAGAUUUGGAAGAAUCAAUGACUGGACUAAGAGACAUGGUGAACGGUUGGUGGUAGCGCAGGCGUUAUCGCUACAAAUGGAGGUUCCACCGAGAUCUGAGAAGGAAGGGACAUCGCUGAUGGACACCCAGGUGAGGCUGGCCAGCAAUUUAAAGAAAAAAGAAAAGAUGAGGGUGAAUUGAAACAGGUGCAGCCAGCUCACAGUCAGUUAAUUGGACUGCUGAAGCAGGAGAGCACCGAAGUUAAGAUAGGGCAAGACAGCUAAAGAUUUUAAAUAAAAAGGAAAUCUUCCCAAUAGAGAAGAGGGAAGGAAAGGAAAUUUCCCAUUAGAAAAGGGAAAAAAAAUUUAAUCAAGAAAAAAGGAUUUUCCCAGUAAAAAGGGGAAAAAUUUUGAAACUAGGCCUAAAGAUUAGGGCCCUGUAGAGGAAGGAUGAAGGAAAGAGAGAAGCCUUUUCCCAGUGGUAAUGGAGGAAGAAAAGGCUCUUUCCAAUUAUAGAAUUUUCAGGAUAGCUAAAACUCUGAGCUCUUUCUGCCUGCCAGCACAGAACAGCAGCAUCUGAAUUACAAAAAAUCAACAGGUGGGCCUCAUUGCUGCUGGAUGAACAAGCAAGCAAACCCAGAGCUUAAAGUUUCAUUGUCUGUUUGCUUAAUUUUGGUUUAAAAAAAUGUUCAUUUUUUUCCCUCAGUGGGAAUAAUUCAAUAUUUAGGAUCCCUUCGUGGGAAAUGUUUUUGUUUUUUCCCUUAUGGUGGGAAUAACUUAUUAUUAGGUAGUCCUUUCAUGGGAAGUAAAAGAAAGUUUAAAAGUGAGUGCACGUGUCCAGCAUGGCAGCAAAGGUGUGUGCAAGAUAGCCUGGAGCAGCAGGUGGGCAGGUACACGCAGGCGGGUGUCAUAGCCACAAGACCGAUGAAGGGAACAGACUUGCGGGAGGGCAAGCGAGCAGAGGCCAGGAGAGGGACUAGCACUAAAAGUUUAAACGGGCCCAACUUCUGGUGAAAAAUGGUUUCGGUCCGACAUGGAUUGCUAAGUCAAUGCUGUUGAAUUUCCAGGGAUAUUAAUCAUUCAUUGUAUAAAGGAUGUUCUGUUCUUUUGAUUGUCUUAAUAAAUGUUUGGAUUCUCAUGGUAGAUAAACUAAGGAACAGAAUUCAUAAUUGUGAACUAUAUAUUAGGUAUGCUCUUGUCUGUUGAUCAUUACUGAUAAUUUGGCUCUGCUCUUUAAGUUGCUUUCUAGAAUUCUAGAAAUAUAACACCUGAAAUGGAUUGGGUUGUUAGCUUAUUAAAUAAUGUUGUUGCUAAGAUAAACCCAUAAAAAAUAAUCUCUUACUGAUAAAGAGGUUACAAAAUUAUUUUUCCAGUAAAUAAAAUACAGGUAAAUUGUUUGGUCCACAUUGUUAAUAAUUGGUUAUUUGCAUUAAUGUGUUAUUUGAAAUCUAUAAAAAAGGAUCCUAUUUUUAAGAUUUUAUAAAAAUACUCAAGAGUAUCCUCUUCAAAUCCUAUAAAGAUUGUAUUUAAUGCUUUUAUAAUUGGUAUAUGUAAAAAGGACCAUGAAAAUAGAAGCUGGUGAUAAAAUCGCUCGAUUAUUAUUGUUUUCAUAUUUAAAUUGCAAAAUGGCACCUAUAUGUAGAACUGGAGGCUUUGAAAGUACAGGAAAAAGGUGUUUUGGCAAACAGUUAUCAAUGAUAAACAGCCUAAAUUAAAAAUAAAAUUAUAUAGGAUUGAGAUUAAAAGAUUACUGGAUUCUGGUGCUGGACAAGAAUCCUGAGAUCCCAACUGGCCUCUACAAGAAGUCAGGAAAAUGGAGACUGUUACAAGAUCUUAGAGCUGUAAAUAAAACCAUGCUUCUCAUGGGAGCAACACAGCCUGGUUUGCCUGCCCCAUGGCAAUUCCUAAACAUUGGCAUUUAAUUGUGGUUGACUUAUAUGGAUGAUAUUUUAUUGGCUGCUAAAGAUAAAAAACUUGUUUUUGAUGCCUUUUCUAAAUUACAAGAGGUUCUUAGCCUGGCUAAUUUACAAAUAGUUCCAGAAAAGGUACAGGUAUCUUUUCCCUAUCAUUAUUUAGGUCAUGAAUUGUUACGCACAGGCAUACGUCCACAAAAGAUUACUCGGUGUACGGAUCAGCUACGCACGCUUAAUAAUUUCCAAACCUUUCUGGGAGAUAUUCAAUGGCUUUGGUCCACUUUAAAGAUUCCAACAGGUCAACUUCACCCUUUGUAUGAUGUCUUAAAGGGCGACCCUGAACCUUUAUCUCCCCAUGAAUUAACAGCUGAAGGGUGUACAGCCCUACAAUGAGUGCAAGAGGCACUGGAACAGGCACACAUGCAGUAUAUAGAUCUUUCUUCUCCCUUAUUGUAUUUGAUAUUUUGUUUUACUCAUUCACCUACUGGAGUGUUUUGGCAAACAGGUCCUAUUCUAUGGGUACAUUCCCCAGUUUCUCCAGCAAAAACCAUUAAUCCUUACCCACAGGCUGUUGCUCAGAUUAUAUUUAAGGGAAUCAAGAUCAGUGUUCAAACUUUUGGUAAGGAGCCAGAUAUUGUGGUGACCCCAUACACCCAGUCUCAAAUAGCAUGGUUGCAAGCUAAUGAUAAUGAUUGGGCCAUAUUGACAUGCUCCAUGUAGGGUCAGUUUGAUACUCACUACCCCUCCAAUGAUGUGUGUCAAUUAUUUAAAUUGCAUCCUGUUAUAUUUCCCAAGAUAGUACAGAUGACUCCUAUUCCUCAGGUCCAUGUGGUAUUUACUGAUGGCACUUCACGUGGUUUUGCUGUGGUGGUUUCUGGUAACAUAGUGAAGAGAAUGAAAGCCCAGGGCACUUCUGCCCAGAUGGCAGAGGUACAGGCACUGUUGCUUGCUUUACAGAUGUUUUCUGAUGAGAGUGUAAAUAUUUAUACUGAUAGCCAAUAUGUAGCACAUGCCAUUAUGCCUUUGGAGACAACAGCCUACAUACCAUCCAUUUCUCCCAUUCAUGAAUAUUUAUUGCAAAUGCAAGGACUUAUAUGGUCCUGCUCACAUAACCCUUAUGUGGGCCAUAUUAGAGCUCACACUCAAUUGCCUGGACCUCUAAGUGAAGGUAAUCAGAGGGCUGACGCCAUUACUCGUAUGGCUGUCACAUUAGUUUGUUCUGCCUUUGAUAAGGCUACUCAGUUGCUUCAACGUUAUCAUCUUAAUGCUGGAUCUCUUCGUCAUCAUACAGGCAUAACCCGGGAACAAGCCAUCCAGAUAGUUAAAUCAUGUCCUAUUUGUGCUGAAUUCUUACCUGUUCCUCAUUUGGGAGUUAAUCCCCGAGGACUUUUACCUAAUCAUGUGUGGCAAAUGGACGUCACACAUGUGCCUUUCUUUGGAAAAUUACAAUAUGUCCAUGUGUCUAUUGAUACAUAUUCCUCUGCUGUGGGAUGUUCUGUAUGGCAAAUGUGUUGCUGAUUGGUCAAUAAAUAAAACACUGAUUGGCCAUUGGCUAGGCAGGAAGUGUAGACGGGACAAGGAGGAGAAUAAAGCUGGGAAGUGGAAGGCUGAGUCAGAGAUACUGCCAGCCGCCACGAUGACAAACAGCAUGUGAAGAUGCCGGUAAGCCACAAGCCACGUGGCAAGGUACAGAUUUGUGGAAAUGGAUUAAUUUAAGCUGUAAGAACAGUUAGCAAGAAGCCUGCCACAGCCAUACAGUUUGUAACCAAUAUAAGUCUCUGUGUUUACUUGGUUGGGUCUGAGUGGCUGUGGGACUGGCAGGUGAGAGAGAUUUGCCCUGACUGUGGGCCAGGCAGGAAAACUCUAGCUACAUUCCUCUCUAAUUUUUGCUUCUGUCCAUUCAGGGGAAAAGGUUAAAGAUGUAAAGAAUCAUUGUCUUCAUGCUUUUGCUUACAUGGGAGUGCCAAAAUGCAUAAAAACUGAUAAUGGUCCUGCCUACAGCAGUACGGGAUUUUCAAAAUUCUGCCAAGAUUGUUCUAUCGUUAAUAAGACUGGUAUUCCUUAUAAUCCUCAAGGACAGGCUAUAAUAGAACGCUGCCAUCAUACCUUAAAAACAUAUAUUGCUAAAGUAAAAAGUGGGGAGCUAGGGGCUCAUCUCUCCUCUCCAUAUUCUAUUCUUUCCCUUGUUUUAUAUACUUUAAAUUUUUUAUCAGUGGACUCUACUGGAGUAUCCACUGCAGAUAAGCACUGGAGGGCUCCUGUUGCAAAUCAUCCUCUGGUGCGAUGGAAGGAUCUUUCUACUGGCACUUGGAGGGGACCCGAUAUGGUGUUGGUGUAGGCCCAGGGAUCUGUUUGUGUCUUCCCGCAGGACAAUGAGGUUCCUCUUUGGGUUCCUGAGCGCUGCGUGCACCCUGUGGUUGCUGCUGAAUCCCAACAUGGCAGAGACCUAUUGGGCCUUUGUGAAGAACUCUCCCCUUCUGAUGCCAAUGGGGAUUGAGAACCCAAUAUGGCCAGCCUUGGCAAGCAUUAACGUAAGCCUAGGAACUGUAGCCAUGCAGUUGGAUUCUCCAGAAGGUAAUGUAUGGUAACUGCUCUUUCAAGCAUGUUUAAGAACGUGUCACUCAGACACCUUGGAGUUUAAGGACAACCAUGAAGUUCACUGACCUCUAUUUGUUAACAGUAGCAUGCCAGCUAAGCCUUUUCACAUUUUGCAACCCUCUUCAAGCUGGUGUAGUACCCUACUUUUCAGGAGUGGCUCUGUGCAACAUCUAUUGGCCUCCUGAAAUUCAUCUAGCCUCUUUUGAAGAUACCUUAAAAUUUGUGAGCCUGAAUGUAGUCAUUAUUGAGACCAUUAGGUCUGCUCCUUGUGUGCUGUUUGUUUUUCCUUUAUGGUUCUUAGUUGUUCUUUUGCAGAGCUGCCAGCUUAAGUCAUGCUGGGAUCAAGAAAAAUGGGCCUUGGUGGUUCGUGUUCCUGGAGUUGUGUCCAUGCCAGUGGAUGCCCACACGCUCCAGAAGAGAAUCUGACAUCCCUGUUGCCAUUGUUGCUGUCAUAGCGGUGGUGGCCACUGCUGCUACUGUUUCUGGGAUUGCUAUUUCAUAAUUGGUUACUACAGCUAGCACAGUGGAGACCCUGGCAGCAAAAGUAGCUACCACAGUUAGUUAAUCUUUCAUUCUAUUGGGCAUGAUAAAUUUAACUCAAUAGUUAUAUACAUUUUGAUUGGCUUUGUAAGUUGUAAAAUUUAAAACUCAAGUUCCAUUUGCUUUUGGGAUACCAUCUUACGAGGACUCCAAUUUGCAUAAGGCUUGAAGGAAGGGAAUGGCUCAAUAGCCUUUAGGCUACUGCCUAUGGGUGGGUUAGGACUUCUGUUGGUCUUUUCUGUGUCGCACAGAUUGCAAGCCCAGCGCCACUUUGAGAUCUUUGGCAACAGUUAACUCUACAGCUCACGUGGUUGAGCCUGUAUGAUAAUGAGUAUUCAGAGACAGGUAAUGCUUGGGGGGGUGCUCACCAACCUAAGACAGAGCACUUGUGUGGCCUGGGCAGGUGUCUCCAUGAUGGGUAAGGUGACCUGCUGAUGUCCCAUGCAACCUAAGUCAGAAGCUCAUUUUUUAGUAAAAAGGGGGGACCUGUAGGGCCCUGGUCUCCUCCCAUAUUGAGUAAAGCCAUUGCCUGCUUGCCAACUUUGACCAGAUGUCCUCCCUAUGCUAAUUCCCUGCCGGUAUCCACCCUCCUGAAUGCUUUAGGGAAGUUCCUUGUUUGUGUAUCCUGCAUAUUGGGCGUUAACAGCUUAGAUGCAAGAUUGUAAAACAUCAAUAGCGAACUUCUGCCCUCGGGGGUUCUCCCAUCGUGCUUUAAGCCUGUAUUUAAGGUUUCCUCCCUCUUUCAAUAAACGGCAUUCGGUAUUCUGCUGAGGUGAAUGACCCGCUGUCUUUUGUCUCUGUUUUUCGAUCCACAGCCCCUCGCUCGGACAUGGUGAACGGGUGGUGGUAGCGCGGGCGUUAUCGCUACAUAAGAGCUCUGUGUGCUGAGAUUCUGUUUCCUGAAAAUAGUUCUCAUCAUUCAUAGUUCUCUCUCCUGAGCCCCUGGGAUAUAUAGUGUUAAGGCUGGUCCCUCUAAUAUUAUACAAGACCUGGCGCCCUUGGGUACCCAGUCUCAGGAGAGUAAUCAACCAAGCAUACUCAAAAAUCAGGGGUGUUGUUUGGCGGAGGCUGUCCAGAGAAGAGGCAGUCUCUCUGGGAAGUCGUAAAAAUGACCCCUGAAGUGCCGGCUACUGAUGGACCUCACCACAGGUGCUGCAGACCGGGAGGAACCCCAGGCCUCUUUGUGGUCCUUUUGGUUCUUUUCAAGUGAGCCAACCUCAAAGAAGGGUGAGGUCAGACCCCAGCCCCCCAGAAAAGGCAGUUGCCACCUGUGUAAGGGCAAGAUUCCCAGUACACAUCCUGCCUGGGAGCCUGCACCUCUGCUUUGGAGGUAGAGGCAAGAGGAACAGGAAUACAAGGUCAUCCUUGGCAACAUGACAAGGUUGAAGUCAGCAUGGGUUACUUGAGAUCCUGUCUCAAAGAAGAAGAAAGAAAAUACAAAACAAAACAAAAACAAACCAGACCAACCAACCGACAAACGCACAAAACCUUUUGUAACAUUCCCAGAGCCAUACAUUACAGAUGGUAGGAAACAGUGUCAGAGAGACUUCUCCAGGGCACACAGCACACCAGCGGUCAGAGGCAUGUUCUGAGUCCAGGAAGAUUAGAUAUGUGUAAUAUCUGUAUAAUAAUAAAAACAUGUAACAUUACAUCUUCAUGUAUCAGUUCAUUCAAUUUCAACAGCCCCUAUGGGUGAUAUUUUCAAUAUUAAUUAUCUUAACAUUUAAAAUUCUCAGCCAUAGUAUUUUAUUACCAUACCCUUUACCUUGGUGUUGUGUAUCAGUUUCUUCAAGAUUGAAACAUUCCUUCCUGCUGGGAAGGCUUUAAGACAGAAGGUUAACAGCUCAAAAUAGCUUCUGGAAGUCCCUGAAACUGACCAGAUUCACUUGGCUCCUCCUCCUCAAGAGUAAACCAUAGGCUUGGGAGAGUCCUCCUCAGACAAGCUGAACUGCAAAGAAGACUCUGAGACCAGACCUGCUGCCUGCAAGAAGCAGAAGGCGGCUGAGCUGCCUGGAAGAGGUUUAUACCAACCCCAUCACUUGGAGAGGACACUCUGUAACUGGCUGAGCUGCCCGCAGGCUGUAGAAUGUGCUCCAGAUUCCCAGCUUAUGUAAGCUGUCACUCAUGCAUGGGUUUGCAUUGGUGAUGCAGCUGUCUUUGGGUCAUUUCUGCUCCUAUAAGUAAGCCCCUCACCCACACCCCUGUAAGUAACCCCAAUAAAACUCAUGGUUCACAAAGUUGGA